GCCGGGUGUGGUGGCGCGUGCCUGUAGUCCCAGCUACUCAGGAGGCUGAGGCAGGAGAAUUGCUUGAACCCAGGAGGCAAAGGUUGCAGUGAGCUGAGAUCUCACCACUGCACUCCAUCCUGGGUGACAGAGCAAGACUCCAUCUCAA
rnacentral:SRP_RNA from 2 species